rnacentral:rRNA from 1 species
AAAUUGAAGAGUUUGAUCAUGGCUCAGAUUGAACGCUGGCGGCAGGCCUAACACAUGCAAGUCGAACGGUAACAGGAAGCAGCUUGCUGCUUUGCUGACGAGUGGCGGACGGGUGAGUAAUGUCUGGGAAACUGCCUGAUGGAGGGGGAUAACUACUGGAAACGGUAGCUAAUACCGCAUAACGUCGCAAGACCAAAGAGGGGGACCUUCGGGCCUCUUGCCAUCGGAUGUGCCCAGAUGGGAUUAGCUUGUUGGUGGGGUAACGGCUCACCAAGGCGACGAUCCCUAGCUGGUCUGAGAGGAUGACCAGCCACACUGGAACUGAGACACGGUCCAGACUCCUACGGGAGGCAGCAGUGGGGAAUAUUGCACAAUGGGCGCAAGCCUGAUGCAGCCAUGCCGCGUGUAUGAAGAAGGCCUUCGGGUUGUAAAGUACUUUCAGCGGGGAGGAAGGG